rnacentral:rRNA from 1 species
UACGUAGGUGGCAAGCGUUGUCCGGAUUUAUUGGGUUUAAAGGGUGCGUAGGCGGUUCCUUAAGUCAGCGGUGAAAUACGACAGCUUAACUGUCGAGGUGCCAUUGAUACUGGGGAACUUGAGUACUGAUGAGGUAUGCGGAAUGGACGGUGUAGCGGUGAAAUGCUUAGAUAUCGUCCAGAACACCGAUAGCGAAGGCAGCAUACUAAGGAGUAACUGACGCUGAGGCACGAAAGUGUGGGGAUCAAACAGG